rnacentral:rRNA from 1 species
AUACGGAGGAUCCGAGCGUUAUCCGGAUUUAUUGGGUUUAAAGGGUGCGCAGGCGGCCAUUUAAGUCAGCGGUUAAAUCGUGGGGCUCAACCCCAUUCUGCCGUUGAUACUGGGUGGCUUGAUUGCGGUCGAGGUUGGCGGAAUUCGUUGUGUAGCGGUGAAAUGCAUAGAUAUGACGAAGAACACCGAUUGCGCAGGCAGCUGACCAGACCGCAAAUGACGCUCAUGCACGAAAGUGCGGGGAUCGAACAGGAUUAGAUACCCUGGUAGUCCGCACAGUAAACGAUGAAUACUUGUUUUCGGCGAUAUAAUGUCGGAGGCAAAGCGAAAGCGAUAAGUAUUCCACCUGGGGAGUACGCCGGCAACGGUGAAACUCAAAUGAAUUGGCGGGG